UCAAGUAUACACACAUCUCAGUCACUAUACACAAAGAUAUAGGUAGUUUUAGUGAGUUUGGCUAAACAGCUGAUUUCUUUGUCACCUUGGCCACUGUCUGGUCCUUCUGACCUUCCAUCUCUCCUGAGGCCCUGUGCUGAAGCUGGGGCAGGUAAAGCACUCCUGAAUCUUGCCAGGCAAAAAUAUAUGUCUCCCCUAGAAGAAAAAGUAAUGGGAAAUUUUGACCUGUAGAUAUGUGUGAACAUAUUACAGGCUCAACUGAAGCUGAUCCCCAUGUAGACAGGCAGUACAUCAAAUUCCCUGCUCAGUAUCUCAUUCUGGAAACUAUGUUUACUGAGAACAGUCACAGAAGCAUCCCAAGUGAGAAAGGAGCAGAACAGGGAAGGGUGGUCCAGUGUGCCUGUAAGUCUGCUGGGGAGGCAUCCCACAUGCUGGUAUGGGAACGGGAAUCCACCCAAGGCAGAGGAAGCAAAGUGCCUGUGAAGUCUGACCUCACUGGCAGCACAGACCAGUAGCAGCUGUAUAAUUUCCAAGUACAUCACCUCACAACUGGACAAAGCAUUGUUCUUCCCAUGAGACCAUCAGCACCAUAAUGGAUGCGACUCUGCAUGAGCAAGUCU